rnacentral:misc_RNA from 1 species
UUUUUUUUUAUGUAUGUUACAUCAGAACUUUUGACCGGGUAGACCGAUUUCGACAAAUUUUGUUUUAAUCGAAAGGUGGUGUGUGUCAAUUGGUCCCAUUUAAAUUUAUUUGGGAUCUAACAACUACUUUUCGAGUUAUAUCUAAUAAUGCGUUUUUACUUGACUUUUUUUGUCGACCUACGUUGUAUUAUACCGCAUAACUUUCUACUGGAUAUACCGAUUUUGAUAAUUCUUUUUUUGUUGGAAAGGGGAUAUUCCUAGUUUGGUACCGUGAUAAGGAAA